ensembl:lncRNA
CCCCGCUCCGACCCCCGCCGCCCGCUGGGCCCAGCCCGCGGCGAGUGUCCCCGUGCGUUUUCCAGCCCGAAGCGAGUUGGCAGAAGGUCCUUCUGAGCCGAGAACGUGGCGAACGCGCAAGGGAAAUGGGCGAGGGGAAUGGCCGGUCCCCACCGAUCGUUGCCGACCGCAAGCACCAGACUCGCAUCUGACAACUGGCUGUGUUUGCGGUGUAGGGAAGGCCCCACUGAGGCCUCGCUGGCAUGAGGGUCGAAGGAAGACAGCUGAGCUCCUGACUUUCUUGGGGCCGGCAUUAAUUACUCCGUGCAACUUGCCACCGAGUAUCUCAUUUGGGGUGUCCCAUGGGGAGCUGCGCAAAUAAGGUGCCUUGUAGUCAACUGCCAACUUGAUGGACUGGAUGCCUCGCUGUGCCAAGUCAGACAUGAAGAGUCACUCCUUCAAGAGCAGAUUCUGCAAGGUGGCGUUUCUGGUCUUAAAAGGUAGAAGGGUGGGACAAAACCAGUCAGACCAAGCUCAGGACAAGAGCCGUACCACACAGAGGCUUUCAUUCUGGUGUUUCUUACCCUGCUCUGCACCAGGAAGCCUUACUCUACUGCGGAACAGUACAAGUCAAAGCAGAGUUCAUCGCAUUUGUGUAGUCAACCCACACACUGACUCAACCAAGUCUUGAUCAAGUUACCUCUUGUUUUUGCGGGUUUGUUGUUGUUGUUGUUUGUUUGUUUUAUUUUUUUGUUUUGCCAAAGGAUUUGCAAAGCAUUUCUGGAAAAUGAAGAUGCUCCUCGGUAUUCCACUUUGAUAAACAAGUUUUGAACCGUUGUUCAGCAGGUGUCCAUUUAGAAAACGUUGACCUGUUUGUGAGACUUGCAUAAGUUAUACAGAAAGAGAUGGAAGCUCUUUUAGUGAACGUGGUUUACCUGUUCAUUCUUAGUGGCACAUUGUUUGCUUCCUCCAGGUCAAUGUUCUUCUUCUAGAUGACUGAAAAUCUUAUCUGAUGCUGGACUGCCAGACAGACACUAUUUGCAUAAAUAAAAUACCUGUCACCUUUCAUACUUUCAUACUUCCGUAAUUUCCAACUAGUCUAUGGGAAGUUCAGAGCAGAUCUAUGUUUAAACAGCUUCUGGAGAUCUUCAAGAGUUGGGCUUAGACUAAGUGUCGCCUUGACCUAAGCAUUUAUUCACAGUUUCUGGGAUGUGUUCUGAAUCCUUUCUGGGCUGUACUCAGCAUACCAUCAUUGUUGUACUCAUCUUCUGAAGGACAGCUCUUUAAGGACCUGCUUUUCUCUUUCUGCUUUUCUCUGCCACUGUCACCACCUGCCUUUCUAGUUCUGCAAUGCAUGACUCUGGAAUCUUAAAUACAACAGCUUCCAUCAUUACAGAGGGACAGACAGCCUUAUGUGAACCAUACAGCCAAUAGUAAUGAAGAUGAGACUAAAAUCUCUUCACAUCCCUGGUAUAUCUGUCUGCUACACGCCCCUGAUUACAGGUUUUGGAGGCAUAUAUACAGCUUACUCCAUUGGUCACCAACAGACCCUAGACACUGAUAUUGACAUCAGAGAGAAAAAAAAAAUAGCCACUUCACUGAAUGCCUUGAUUCUAUUCAAACUGGUGCUGACUUAUCACUGGAACAUCACUUCCUUUUCUUGGUGUGGAUGAGAACUGUUUUGUAAAACAACUGUGAAAACAAAAUUCUGGAUUAAUAAUUGAGCUGGUAAGAGAGCAUAGAAUGAAGCUGAAGAAUAAUUUCAUCCUUGUAGAACUCUUUAAAUGAAUGAUAAGCUGUAAAAAUGUGCUCAUUCUCGUAGUCAAAAUAAUGAUCAUUAUGUAGACCAUAUCAACCAAAAAUUAAAUUAGAGAAUGUCCU